rnacentral:rRNA from 1 species
CCUACGGGAGGCAGCAGUGGGGAAUAUUGCACAAUGGGGGAAACCCUGAUGCAGCGACGCCGCGUGAGUGAAGAAGUAUCUCGGUACGUAAAGCUCUAUCAGCAGGGAAGAAAAUGACGGUACUUGACUACGCAGCCCCGGCUAACUACGUGCCAGCAGCCGCGGUAAUACGUAGGGGGCAAGCGUUAUCCGGAUGUACUGGGUGUAACGGGAGCGUAGACGGCAGCGCAAGUCUGGAGUGAAAUGCCGGGGCUCAACCCCGGAACUGCUUUGGAAACUGGGCGGCUCGAGUGCAGGAGAGGUAAGCGGAAUUCCUAGUGUAGCGGUGAAAUGCGUAGAGAUUAGGAGGAACACCAGUGGCGAAGGCGGCUUACUGGACGGUAACUGACGUUGAGGCUCGAAAGCGUGGGGAGCAAACAGGAUUAGAUACCCCUGUAGUC